rnacentral:rRNA from 1 species
AGCAGCUUGCUGCUUUGCUGACGAGUGGCGGACGGGUGAGUAAUGUCUGGGAAACUGCCUGAUGGAGGGGGAUAACUACUGGAAACGGUAGCUAAUACCGCAUAACGUCGCAAGACCAAAGAGGGGGACCUUCGGGCCUCUUGCCAUCGGAUGUGCCCAGAUGGGAUUAGCUUGUUGGUGGGGUAACGGCUCACCUAGGCGACGAUCCCUAGCUGGUCUGAGAGGAUGACCAGCCACACUGGAACUGAGACACGGUCCAGACUCCUACGGGAGGCAGCAGUGGGGAAUAUUGCACAAUGGGCGCAAGCCUGAUGCAGCCAUGCCGCGUGUAUGAAGAAGGCCUUCGGGUUGUAAAGUACUUUCAGCGGGGAGGAAGGGAGUAAAGUUAAUACCUUUGCUCAUUGACGUUACCCGCAGAAGAAGCACCGGCUAACUCCGUGCCAGCAGCCGCGGUAAUACGGAGGGUGCAAGCGUUAAUCGGAAUUACUGGGCGUAAAGCGCACGCAGGCGGUUUGUUAAGUCAGAUGUGAAAUCCCCGGGCUCAACCUGGGAACUGCAUCUGAUACUGGCAAGCUUGAGUCUCGUAGAGGGGGGUAGAAUUCCAGGUGUAGCGGUGAAAUGCGUAGAGAUCUGGAGGAAUACCGGUGGCGAAGGCGGCCCCCUGGACGAAGACUGACGCUCAGGUGCGAAAGCGUGGGGAGCAAACAGGAUUAUAUACCCUGGUAGUCCACGCCGUAAACGAUGUCGACUUGGAGGUUGUGCCCUUGAGGCGUGGCUUCCGGAGCUAACGCGUUAAGUCGACCGCCUGGGGAGUACGGC